rnacentral:rRNA from 1 species
UGAUCCAGCCAUGCCGCGUGCGGGAAGAAGGCCCUAUGGGUCGUAAACCGCUUUUAUACGGGAAGAAACCACCCUACGUGUAGGGUACUGACGGUACCGUAAGAAUAAGGACCGGCUAACUCCGUGCCAGCAGCCGCGGUAAUACGGAGGGUCCGAGCGUUAUCCGGAAUCAUUGGGUUUAAAGGGUCCGUAGGCGGGCCGUUAAGUCAGGGGUGAAAGUCUGCGGCUCAACCGUAGAACUGCCCUUGAUACUGGCGGUCUUGAGUCGUACUGGAGUAGGCGGAAUAUGUAGUGUAGCGGUGAAAUGCAUAGAUAUUACAUAGAACAUCGAUCGCGAAGGCAGCUUACUAAGUACGUACUGACGCUGAUGGACGAAAGCGUGGGGAGCGAACGGGAUUAGAUACCCCGGUAGUCCACGCCGUAAACGAUGGAUACUAGCUGUCCGGUACCUUGAGUACUGGGCGGCCAAGCGAAAGUGAUAAGUAUCCCACCUGGGGAGUACGUUCGCAAGAAUGAAACUCAAAGGAAUUGACGGGGGCCCGCACAAGCGGUGGAGCAUGUGGUUUAAUUCGAUGAUACGCGAGGAACCUUACCAGGGCUUAAAUGCAUAUUGACAGGUCUAGAGAUAGAUUUUCCCUUCGGGCAAUUUGCAAGGUGCUGCAUGGUUGUCGUCAGCUCGUGCCGUGAGGUGUCAGGUUAAGUCCUAUAACGAGCGCAACCCCUACCGUUAGUUGCCAGCAAGUAAAGUUGGGGA